rnacentral:rRNA from 1 species
GCGGCAGGCUUAACACAUGCAAGUCGAGGGGUAAGGUCCCGCUUGCGGGAUACACGACCGGCGCACGGGUGCGUAACGCGUAUGCAACCUGCCUCUGACCGGAGGAUAGCCUCGAGAAAUCGGGAUUAAUACUCCAUAACAUCUAACUACCGCAUGGUAGAGUGAUUAAAACUCCGGUGGUCAGAGAUGGGCAUGCGUGGCAUUAGCUAGUUGGUGAGGUAACGGCUCACCAAUGCAACGAUGCCUAGGGGGUCUGAGAGGACGAUCCCCCACACUGGUACUGAGACACGGACCAGACUCCUACGGGAGUGCAGCAGUGAGGAAUAUUGGUCAAUGGGCGCAAGCCUGAACCAGCCAUGCCGCGUGCAGGAUGACGGCUCUAGAAGUUGUAAACUGCUUUUGUAUGGGAAUAAACUGUCCGGCUCUCCGGGCAUUGAAGGUACCAUACGAAUAAGGAUCGGCUAACUCCGUGCCAGCAGCCGCGGUAAUACGGAGGAUCCAAGCGUUAUCCGGAUUUAUUGGGUUUAAAGGGUGUGCAGGCGGAGUAAUAAGUCAGUGGUGAAAUCUUGCGGCUCAACCGUAAAAUUGCCAUUGAUACUGUUAUUCUUGAGUUCAGUUGAGGUGGGCGGAAUGAGUAAUGUAGCGGUGAAAUGCUUAGAUAUUACUCAGAACACCGAUUGCGUAGGCAGCUCGCUAAACUGUAACUGACGCUGAGGCACGAAAGCGUGGGGAGCGAACAGGAUUAGAUACCCUGGUAGUCCACGCCGUAAACUAUGAAUACUGGAUGUGUGCGAUACACUGUACGCGUCUGAGCGAAAGCAUUAAGUAUUCCACCUGGGGAGUACGUCCGCAAGGAUGAAACUCAAAGGAAUUGACGGGGGCCCGCACAAGCGGAGGAACAUGUGGUUUAAUUCGAUGAUACGCGAGGAACCUUACCUGGGCUUAAAUGCAGUAUGACCGUUCUCGAAAGAGAUCUUCCCUUCGGGGCAAAUUGCAAGGUGCUGCAUGGUUGUCGUCAGCUCGUGCCGUGAGGUGUCGGGUUAAGUCCCAUAACGAGCGCAACCCCUACCGUUAGUUGCCAGCGAGUAAUGUCGGGGACUCUAGCGGAACUGCCGGUGUAAACCGCGAGGAAGGUGGGGAUGACGUCAAAUCAGCACGGCCCUUAUGUCCAGGGCUACACACGUGUUACAAUGGUCGGUACAGUGGGCAGCUACCCAGCGAUGGGAUGCUAAUCUCCAAAACCGAUCCCAGUUCGGAUUGAAGUCUGCAACUCGACUUCAUGAAGGUGGAUUCGCUAGUAAUCGCAUAUCAGCAACGAUGCGGUGAAUACGUUCCCGGGCAUUGUACACACCGCCCGUCAAGCCAUGGAAGCUUGGGGUACAUGAAGUCCGUAACCGCAAGGAGCGGCACUAGGGUAAAACAAGUAACUGGGGCUAAGUCGUA